ensembl:lncRNA
CUGCCUCUUCCUCUCUCUCAACUGCCCCACCAGGGAAGGAAGCAAGGAAGGAGGGAAAGCCCCGAUCCACAUCCUUCUCUCCUCCUCCUCCUCCUCCUCCUCCUCCUCCUCCUCCUCCUUCUUCUUCUCUCUCUCUCUCUCUCCCUCUCUCUCUCUCUCUCUCUCAGGUGCCCCACCAAGGAAGGAAGCAAGGAGGGAGGGAGGGAAAAUGGUGAUGCAACCAUCCUUCUCUCCCUCUCCCUCCCACUUCCUCUCUCUCAACUGCCCCACCAGGGAAGGAAGCAAGGAAGGAGGGAGAGAGGGAAAGCCCUGAUCAACAUCCUUCUCUUCCUCUCUCUCAGCUUUCCCAUGCAACACAAGGCACAGAUAUAUCACAAAAGUAAUGGAAGGGAAGGACCUGGAAAGGCUAUUUUUAAAAAAAUAAAUUAUUUUGACAAAGUAAAAGCUUGUUGAGCAAAAGGUAAUUGCAGAACUUUCCCUAACAAAAGUAUUUUGGCUCCUCCGACAAUUUUCUCUCCCACAAAUUGGGGAAACAUUUCAUUCUACACCUGAGAACAAUGAAUGCCAUCUCAUUACAGAAUUGGCCAUUUUUCCCAUCUACAUCUGGAUCAUUACUAAAAAUCCACUUCCCAAGCAGCCCCCGAAACAUAUGAAAAGAAAGCUGUUCCCAGUGCUUUAGACACGUAAAGAAUGCUCUACCCUACACUUGAACCCAACCUAAUGUGAUGAGCACAAUGGGUUACCACAUCUGAAAUGCUUGACUCAGUGGAAUUUAAUCAAUGUGAUGAAGUCCUUUGGCUAUGAAACUCCCUCCCACAAGCAGCUUGAUUGGCUCCUGUCGCACCUCUGCGUUGGUUCACCUUGCUCCAACACACAAACUCCACCACAGCAGGCUUCAGUCUUUUCAGUUUAUUGAAGAAAGAUAGCAAAACUUAUUAAAAAUCAGAAAAAAUAAGUAAAAACAUUUUGCAAGUUCAAUCCUUAAACACAGUUCAAUAAUUUCGUAGAUAUUCGUCCAAAAUCCAAAAAUAGCACAGUAAAUCCAAAGUAACAUGAAUGCAUGAGCUUCAAAAGUUAUUCAAACACAGAUUCGAGGCUUGAAUAAGGCAAGAGUUGAUUCUCCAAAAGCGAGGUUGCUCUGACUAAAAUCUCUCCCCAGAAACAUCUACUUUAAAACCUCUCUACAACUGAAAAACUUCCUUUGAGCUCUAGCCCCCCUAUGCUUGCCUCCGAUUCCCACGGAGCAUCUGAGUCCUGAUUUUAAUUUGAACCUGGAAUCCCUAUCUAACACAAAUUCAUCCUCUUCAUUCCCAUCUGCAUUCUAUUGACAAUUCUCAGAUUCAAGUGAAAGGUCAUCCUUAUCACAAACUUUGGUAGCAUCUCUGCUAGACUCAGAGGUAUCCACAAACCUCUGUUUUUCUAAGCUAUCAACACUUUUCGAAUCCACCUGCACUUCAGAAACAUCAACAUUCCCAGGGACAGACUGCUGUUCAAACUGUAUUUCAGAAACGUCCACAUUUCCAGGGACAAACUGCUUUUCCCCAAAUCCCCUUUCUUCAUCAUCAGGCUGAACCACAACAGCUCCCUCUCUUCUCACUUCAAGGAGCAAAUCAAAGGUUUUUAUUUGGGCAAGGCUUUGGUCAUUAAGUAGUUGUUGCUGGAAAACAUUUAUGAGAAGGGUUACUGUACUUUUAUUGAUAGUGUUAUGCUCUAAAUAUUUUCAAUUUUAGUAGCAUUUUAAUAGGAUAACCUUUAAACAUUAUUUUUGUAAUAAAUAUGGUUUUCCUAAUUGUCAAUCAGCCUGAACAUUGGUAAAGGAAUGGAAGAGGGAACACAUUUUGAUAAGAAGCCAAACUGUGGAUUUGUUUCUCUCCUUCGUUUGAUCUGCCAGAAUGAAAUCUACUGCUUGAGUAGGGACAGUGCAUCACUUUAAACAUUGCUGGGCUACAGCUCUUAUCUGUAGCCAGUACAAUAGGAUAUGAAGAGAGUUGCAGUCCAAUGACACCUGGAGGCUAACCUAAGUCCUAUCUCUAUUCAAUCAUCCAUGUUUGUUUUAUUGUUCAGGGUUCUAUUAUAGGAAGGUGAAAUAUCUAUUUUCUUAACUAAAGUUGACUCAUUAUGAUAAAAUUCAGACAUCACUGUUCAAAUUGACCUUGAUCCCACACAUAACAGAAAGGCUAUUACUUCUAUAUGCAUUUAAUUUAAAUAUAAAUGAUUAGAUUUACAUUUUGCUUGCAUACUUCCUGGUUUCUCCUAUACACUUCCAUGAAUACCAAGAUUGUUUCAGCACAAAGGAUACCCUUACACGGUCAAUUUGUUGGAAUGUUGACCAUGUUCUUUGCCUGAUUUAUUCAGUCAAUCAUAUAAAAAUGCAUUAAAAAGGGUGUUGGUGAUAUCAAAGGCACAGGAAUAUGUUCUGGGUUUUAGUGCAAACUUUUAAAAUGAGCUUUCAAAUCAUGUAAAUUAAGCCAGUUUGCGCCGACUCUCUAGAACUGAUUGUUAAAAUUGUUAAAAAUGCAGAAACCAGAGCAUUACAAGGGGAGCCAGGAGAAGUGAAAGGGAGAAGGAAGAGAUGACUGGAGCAGAUGAGAAAGAAUGUGAGAGAUUAACAGAAGGAAAGGACUGGAUCUUCCAGACUUGAAAGGAAGCGACAGGAAUAAUAAUAAUAAUAAUAAUAAUAAUAAUAAUAAUAAUAAUUUAUUCAUAACCCACCCUUUCUUCUCAAGGAGAAUUAGGGUGAUUUCCAACAUUCAAUGCUGAAAACAAGCAAACAACAAAUCAAAACGGCGGACAAAACAAUCUCAAUAUAAAAUUAUAAAACUAACCAAAAAAAUAACUGAAAAUUAAACUUGAAUAAGCAUUUCACACACAUUUACCACAUGAUAAAGGAACCAAUUGGUAAUUAUUUUGAAUGACACUACUUCAGCUCUCCAAGAUGCUGAAACUAUUUGAGGCAUAAUGUUCAUUACCUAGGACAAUUCCUUUAAAAUUAAGACUAAAAUCCAAAGGAGAUUUGCCAUCCCAUGUGCCUGUGGCCAUCAACUGCCCUAAAACAAAUCUAAACAUAAAAUUCCAGUCAAGAGAAAUACAAAAGAGGAAUGUGCUUUGGAAUGCCCUCCAAAUUUAAAAGAAAUAAAACAAAAAGAAAAGCUGUAGUUCUAGCCUUAUAUGUUGCAGAUAUUGUGAGCCUCAUCAAAAUCUGUUUAUGCAUGCAAGCACAGCAGUCUAUUUUCUCUAGCUUGCAUGCACUUCUGGGAUUAGAAAAUGCCCCUUAAAGCAGUGCAUGUCAAAAGUUUGGAAUUUCAGCUUCAGCUUCUUCAUGCAUGAAUAAACAAUUCUUGUCCUCUUGCUUGCGCUUGCUUUUUCAGAGGACUUUGGAGUUCGAACAUUGACAGUGUGUCCUGACCUCUUUGCCUUUCCAGACUGCAGCUUUGGAACAUGCAACUGCUCUCUUCCACAGCUGCAUCGGCAUCACUCUUUUUGGUUUAUUUUGAACAACUUGCACUGUUGCUAAAUUGUUAGGCUUAGCCCCCCAACCCCUUUCCAUGUUAACAAAAGAUACAGCUGAAGUAAGAUGGCAUUGUUGAAAGGAAAAAUGCCGCUGCUUGAAACUUCAACUUCAGCGAUAGGACAUUUGUCUUGAAUUAAAAUGUUUGAUUUUGAAUACAAUUUUGUUUGGGACUUGUGUUGGCUUUGAGGCUAGGAAAGCAAGAGAAACCCUCUUUGUGCAGUUUUUUCAGUGCCUUACUGUCACUCACUAUACACAUCCAUCUGGUUUACAUCUCAGCUGCACCACCCACAACCAUUGCAACAGAGGGAGAUGAGAUGAAAGGGUCAUUCCAUGAACCCUGCUAAAAUACCAUCUUUUUGAAGGAUCUUCUUUUAGCUGUCAUCAACAGGAGUCAUUCCAGGAGAUGUUGAGAAGCAGGAUCAUUUUACCAUGAAUGCUUAUUUAUUUCUCCCUUUUUCUCCAUAUCACUUUUUCUCUUUUGCUACAUCUUAUUAGGUUGUAAGCCUAUUAGCAGAUGUGAUUAGUUGUUUUUGUGAAUUAUUGCCAUG